rnacentral:lncRNA from 1 species
GUUCCAUUGUUAUUCUCUUUGGUCCAAUAUUUUCUGCAACCAAAAACAACGUUAAUAUAUUGUCUCUUUGUAGAUGGAUAGACGUGAUAAAAAAUAUUUAUCUAUUUAUCAUUAAAAUAAUUUUUCCCCUUCUCUAUGGUUGUUGGUUGUAGCAAGUUUAAUCCUCAUCUAAUCCUUCAUGGCUAAACCACUCAUAGGUGGAGCAAUUGCAUAAGAUUUUCAAAUUGUGUGGAUCACC